GCCCUUGUAGCUCAGUGGUAGAGCUUGCGACUUUUAGCUUGUAGCUUGUGCAACGGCUUAUCGCACGGUCAAGGGUUCGAUACCCUUCAAGGGCU